UGACCUCAGAUCAGACAUGGCGAUCCACCAAAUUUAAGCAUAUUGCUAAUUGGAGGAAAAGAAACUAACCAGGAUUCCCUCAGUAACGACGAGUGAAGAGAGAAGAGCCCAGUGCCGAAUACCUGCCCGGGCGACAGGUGCAGGAAAUGUGGCAUAUGGAAGGCCGUCUCCCCAGCACUGCCCAGUGGGACCAAGUCCUUGUGAUCAUGGCUUAGCCCGUGGACAGUGUGAGGCUGGUGGCAGCCCCCAGCACAUCGAGAUCAGGUCUUUCAGGAGUCAGGUUGUUUGUGAAUGCAGCCCAAAGUGGGUGGUAAACUCCAUCUAAGGCUAAACACCAGCACAACACCAAUAGCGGACAACUACCAUAAGGGAAAGUUGAAAAGAACUUUGAAUAGAGAGUUCAAGAGGGUGUGAAACUAAUCAGAGGUAAAUGGGAGGGGUUUGUGCAGUACACCCAGAGGAUUCAACUCAGUGGCCGCCUGGGCAGAUCCCUCUCCUCCUACUGAGGAGUGGGGGAUCGUCAUCGGGCACACUUCCUCCAUGGCUGUGGGCCACGAUCAGCUCCAGGUCAGCCAGGAAGGCCACGUGGAGGGUGGUUCCCCUUCCCAGAAGGGUGUGUUAUAGCCUACAGUAUCAGCCCUCACUGUGCCCCAGGGUCGUGGGAGAUGACCACCGCCGCACCCUCCCUUGCCCUCACAGUAGGACCCAGGGGCUCCUGGCAGGGCUGUCGACUGGGUCAGACUGUCCUCAGUACAGCCUGACCGCUUCCCUCCGCUGGGCCAGUAGGCUCACCUCAGGUGCCCAGGGUCUGUGGCGAUGUCGGUAACCCACCCAUCCCAUCUUGAAACACGGACCAAGGAGUCUAACAUGUGCACGAGGCCGAGGGUGGGCAGGAGACCCCAUGGCACAAUGAAAGUGGGGGCCGGUGUGUGCUGGCUGAGGCAGGAUACCCCUGCCUCAGACGUGGGGCACACAGCCAGCCUGUCUCACCCAUCCCGUCGGGGAGGUGGAGUGUGAGCGCACUUGGUGGGACCAGAAAGAUGGUGAACUAUGCCUGGGCAGGACGAAUCCAGAGGAAACUCUGGUGGAGGUCCGUAGUGGUCCUAAUGUGCAAAUCGAUCAUCUGACCUGGGUAUAGGGAUGAAAGACUAAUCAAACCAUCUAGUAGCGGGUUCCCUCUGAAGUUUCCCUCAGGAUAGCUGGCGCUUGGCAGAUGCAGUUUUAUCUAGUAAAGCGAAUGAUUAGAGGUCUUGGGGCCAAAAUGAUCUCAACCUAUUCUCAAACUUUAAAUGGGUAAGAAGCCAGACUCGCUGGCUUGGAGCCAAGAGUCGAAUGCAAGUGCCCAGUGGGUCACUUUUGGUAAGCAGAACUGGCGUUGUGGGAUGAACCGAAUGCCGGGUUAAGGCGCCUGAUGCUGACACUCAUCAGACCCCAGAAAAGGUGUUGGUUGAUAUAGACAGCAGGACGGUAGCCAUGAAAGACAGAAUCUGCUAAGGAGUGUGUAACAACUCACCUGCUGAAUCAACCAGCCCGGAAAAUGGAUGGCGCUGGAGCAUUGGGCCUAUACCUAGCUUUCUCCGAUGCUGGGAGCCAAGGGGGCUAUGCCACAGCAAGUAGGAGGGCCGCUGCGGUGGCACUGAAGCCUAGGGUGAGGGCCUGGGUUGAGCCGCCGCAGGUGCAGAUCUUAGUGGUAGUAGCAAAUAUUCAAAUGAACAACAGUUGAACAUGGGUCAGUCGGUCCUGAGAAAUAGACAAGUGCCAUUCCAAAGGGACAGGCAAUGGCCUCCGUCGCCCUUGGCCAAGUGAAAGGAUUUCGGGUUCAGAUCCCUGAAUCCAGAGCAGUGGAGAUGGGUGCCUUGUGGCGUCCAGUGUGGUGAUGCAAACAAUCCCGGAGAAGCCAGCAGGGACCCCUGGGAGAGUUCUCUUUUCUUUGCAAAGGGCAGGGCACCCGGGAAUGGGUUCGUCCAGAGAGAGGGUCCAGUGCCCUGGAAAGCGUCGUGGUUAUGGUGGCAUCAGGUGAGCUCUCACCGGCCCUUGAAAAUCAAGGGGAGAGGGUGCAAGUCAUGCACCAGGCAGUACCCAUAUCCGCAGCAGCUCUCCAAGGUGAAAAGCCUCUGGCAUGUUAGAACAAUGUAGGUAAGGGAAGUCGGCAAGCCAAAUCUGUAACUUCAGGAUAAGGAUUGGCUCUAAGGGCUGGUUUGGUCGGGCUUGUGUGUGAAGCGGAGGCUGGGCGCACACUGUGGCUGGACAAGGCAUCGCCCCCUUGCUGAGCUCCCUCCUCGUGGGAGGCCGGUGGGGUGGCAGUGGCAACUCUGGAUGCAUGCCGGGACCUUCCUGUGGAUCACCCCAGCUGUGGCAGGUGCCGGUCCCGAUCAGCAUCCCGCAUCAUCCAGCAGCUAGCAGCUGACUUAGAACUGGUGUGGACCAGGGAAAUCUGACUGGUUUAUUAAAACAAAGCAUCGCAAAGGCCCAAGAUGGGUGUUAAUGUGAUGUGAUUUCU